UGGGGAAUUUUGGACAAUGGGGGAAACCCUGAUCCAGCCAUCCCGCGUGUGCGAUGAAGGCCUUCGGGUUGUAAAGCACUUUUGGCAGGAAAGAAACGUCGCGGGUUAAUACCCCGCGAAACUGACGGUACCUGCAGAAUAAGCACCGGCUAACUACGUGCCAGCAGCCGCGGUAAUACGUAGGGUGCAAGCGUUAAUCGGAAUUACUGGGCGUAAAGCGUGCGCAGGCGGUUCGGAAAGAAAGAUGUGAAAUCCCAGAGCUUAACUUUGGAACUGCAUUUUUAACUACCGGGCUAGAGUGUGUCAGAGGGAGGUGGAAUUCCGCGUGUAACAGUGAAAUGCGUAGAUAUGCGGAGGAACACCGAUGGCGAAGGCAGCCUCCUGGGAUAACACUGACGCUCAUGCACGAAAGCGUGGGGAGCAAACAGGAUUAGAUACCCUGGUAGUCCACGCCCUAAACGAUGUCAACUAGCUGUUGGGGCCUUCGGGCCUUGGUAGCGCAGCUAACGCGUGAAGUUGACCGCCUGGGGAGUACGGUCGCAAGAUUAAAACUCAAAUGAAUUGAC
rnacentral:rRNA from 1 species